rnacentral:rRNA from 1 species
UACUAUGCUUAACCCUAAACAUUGUUAUUAAUGGUUUACCUUAAUAUCCGCCUGAGUACUACAAGCGCUAGCUUAAAACCCAAAGGACUUGGCGGUGCUCCAAAUCCACCUAGAGGAGCCUGUUCUAUAACCGAUAAUCCGCGUUCAACCUCACCACUUCUUGCCAUCCCACCGCCUAUAUACCGCCGUCGUCAGCUCACCCUAUGAAGGCAUAACAGUAAGCAAAAUGAUCUAUCUCCUCAACACGUCAGGUCGAGGUGUAGCGAAUGAAGUGGGAAGAAAUGGGCUACAUUCUCUCUUUCGAGCAUACGAACAGAAGUAUGAAAAUCUUCUUAAAGGCGGAUUUAGUAGUAAGUAAACUUUAGAAUAUUAUACUGAAACCGGCUCUGGAGCGCGCACACACCGCCCGUCACUCUCCUCAAACUAUCACACAUGUUUCUAUAAAAAGAUCUUUAAACAAGAGGAGGCAAGUCGUAA